rnacentral:rRNA from 2 species
UGCUUGCAUCAUGAUUUACAUUUGAGUGAGUGGCGAACUGGUGAGUAACACGUGGGAAACCUGCCCAGAAGCGGGGGAUAACACCUGGAAACAGAUGCUAAUACCGCAUAACAACUUGGACCGCAUGGUCCGAGUUUGAAAGAUGGCUUCGGCUAUCACUUUUGGAUGGUCCCGCGGCGUAUUAGCUAGAUGGUGGGGUAACGGCUCACCAUGGCAAUGAUACGUAGCCGACCUGAGAGGGUAAUCGGCCACAUUGGGACUGAGACACGGCCCAAACUCCUACGGGAGGCAGCAGUAGGGAAUCUUCCACAAUGGACGAAAGUCUGAUGGAGCAACGCCGCGUGAGUGAAGAAGGGUUUCGGCUCGUAAAACUCUGUUGUUAAAGAAGAACAUAUCUGAGAGUAACUGUUCAGGUAUUGACGGUAUUUAACCAGAAAGCCACGGCUAACUACGUGCCAGCAGCCGCGGUAAUACGUAGGUGGCAAGCGUUGUCCGGAUUUAUUGGGCGUAAAGCGAGCGCAGGCGGUUUUUUAAGUCUGAUGUGAAAGCCUUCGGCUCAACCGAAGAAGUGCAUCGGAAACUGGGAAACUUGAGUGCAGAAGAGGACAGUGGAACUCCAUGUGUAGCGGUGAAAUGCGUAGAUAUAUGGAAGAACACCAGUGGCGAAGGCGGCUGUCUGGUCUGUAACUGACGCU